rnacentral:rRNA from 1 species
UGAGAGGGUCAUCGGCCACACUGGGACUGAGACACGGCCCUGACUCCUACGGGAGGCAGCAGUAGGGAAUCUUCCGCAAUGGACGAAAGUCUGACGGAGCAACGCCGCGUGAGUGAAGAAGGUUUUCGGAUCGUAAAACUCUGUUGUUAAAGAAGAACAAGGAUGAGAGUAACUGCUCAUCACCUGACGGUAUUUAACCAGAAAGCCACGGCUAACUACGUGCCAGCAGCCGCGGUAAUACGUAGGUGGCAAGCGUUGUCCGGAUUUAUUGGGCGUAAAGCGAGCGCAGGCGGUUCUUUAAGUCUGAUGUGAAAGCCAUUGGCUCAACCGGGAAGGGUCAUUGGAAACUGGAGAACUUGAGUGCAGAAGAGGAGAGUGGAAUUCCACGUGUAGCGGUGAAAUGCGUAGAUAUGUGGAGGAACACCAGUGGCGAAGGCGACUCUCUGGUCUGUAACUGACGCUGAGGCUCGGAAGCGUGGGGAGCAAACAGGAUUAGAUACCCUGGUAGUCCACGCCGUAAACGAUGAGUGCUAAGUGUUGGAGGGUUUCCGCCCUUCAGUGCUGCAGCUAACGCAUUAAGCACUCCGCCUGGGGAGUACGGCCGCAAGGCUGAAACUCAAAGGAAUUGACGGGGACCGGCACAAGCGGUGGAGCAUGUGGUUUAAUUCGAAGUAACGCGAAGAACCUUACCAGGUCUUGACAUCCUUUGACCACUCUAGAGAUAGAGCUUUCCCUUCGGGGUCAAAGUGACAGGUGCAUCAUGGUUGUCGUCAGCUCGUGUCGUGAGAUGUUGGGUUAAGUCCCGCAACGAGCGCAACCCUUAUUACUAGUUGCCAGCAUUUAGUUGGGCACUCUAGUGAGACUGCCGGUGACAAACCGGAGGAAGGUGGGGAUGACGUCAAAUCAUCAUGCCCCUUAUGACCUGGGCUACACACGUGCUACAAUGGAUGGUACAACGAGUCGCAAGGUCGCGAGGCCAAGCUAAUCUCUUAAAGCCAUUCUCAGUUCGGAUUGUAGGCUGCAACUCGCCUACAUGAAGCCGGAAUCGCUAGUAAUCGCGGAUCAGAACGCCGCGGUGAAUACGUUCCCGGGUCUUGUACACACCGCACGUCACACCACGAGAGUUUGUAACACCC